GGACAAACUUCCCAGUUGAGGGAGAGGAGAGGCCGCAUCGGAGGGCGGAGGCGCAGAGAUGGGGCUGCGGGGGAGCAGGUCCCCAGAGGGCCCGGGCUGCGGGGGAGCAGGUCCCAGGGCCGCAGAGGGCCAGGCUGCGGGGGAGCAGGUCCCAGGGCCGCGGAGGGCCCGACUGCGGGGGAGCAGGUCCCAGGGCCGCGGAGGGCCGGGCUGUGGGGGAGCAGGUCCCAGGGCCGCGGAGGGCCCGGGCUGCGGGGGAGCAGGUCCCAGGGCCGCGGAGGGCCGGGCUGUGGGGGAGCAGGUCCCAGGGCCGCGGAGGGCCCGGGCUGCGGGGGAGCAGGUCCCAGGGCCGCGGAGGGCCGGGCUGUGGGGGAGCAGGUCCCAGGGCCGCGGAGGGCCCGGGCUGCGGGGGAGCAGGUCCCAGGGCCGCGGAGGGCCGGGCUGUGGGGGAGCAGGUCCCAGGGCCGCGGAGGGCCCGGGCUGCGGGGGAGCAGGUCCCAGGGCCGCGGAGGGCCGGGCUGUGGGGGAGCAGGUCCCAGGGCCGCGGAGGGCCCGGGCUGCGGGGGAGCAGGUCCCAGGGCCGCGGAGGGCCGGGCUGUGGGGGAGCAGGUCCCAGGGCCGCGGAGGGCCCGGGCUGCGGGGGAGCAGGUCCCAGGGCCGCGGAGGGCCGGGCUGUGGGGGAGCAGGUCCCAGGGCCGCGGAGGGCCCGGGCUGCGGGGGAGCAGGUCCCAGGGCCGCGGAGGGCCGGGCUGUGGGGGAGCAGGUCCCAGGGCCGCGGAGGGCCCGGGCUGCGGGGGAGCAGGUCCCAGGGCCGCGGAGGGCCGGGCUGUGGGGGAGCAGGUCCCAGGGCCGCGGAGGGCCGGGCUACGGGGGAGCAGGUCCCCAGAGGGCCCGGGCUGCGGGGGAGCAGGUCCCAGGGCCGCGGAGGGCCGGGCCGCGGGUAGCAGGUCCCAGGGCCGCCCACUCGGAAGCUGAGUGGCUGAAUUCCAGGGGGUCUCGCAAGCAGCAGGCCUGGCGCCAGGGUCCUAAAGGGCAUCUGGAACAGACUGAUGAGACACUAUGGACCACUCUCAAAAAAUAGAGGCAGUCACAAAGCUUGGGACUUUGCAUUUUUCAAGGAGUACACAAAAUUACUCCUCUCCUUGGAAAUAUUCCCAUGCCCAUAUUAGUGCAUGAACUCAUCUACUGCCACAGUUGACUGGGUAUGGAAAAAAAACUCCAGAACUACGAUGAGCAAAGAAGAAUCCCUUCCUAGAACUUUGGAAAUGAAACUAAGAAAUUACAACUUUAAUUAAUCAAAUUAAUACUUUGAGCAAAAUAAACAUUAACCCCAAGUUUUUGGUGGGCA
rnacentral:lncRNA from 1 species